GAUGAACGCUGGCGGCGUGCCUAAUACAUGCAAGUCGAGCGAACGGACGAGAAGCUUGCUUCUCUGAUGUUAGCGGCGGACGGGUGAGUAACACGUGGAUAACCUACCUAUAAGACUGGGAUAACUUCGGGAAACCGGAGAUAAUGCCGGAUAAUAUUUUGAACCGCAUGGUUCAAAAGUGAAAGACGGUCUUGCUGUCACUUAUAGAUGGAUCCGCGCUGCAUUAGCUAGUUGGUAAGGUAACGGCUUACCAAGGCAACGAUGCAUAGCCGACCUGAGAGGGUGAUCGGCCACACUGGAACUGAGACACGGUCCAGACUCCUACGGGAGGCAGCAGUAGGGAAUCUUCCGCAAUGGGCGAAAGCCUGACGGAGCCACGCCGCGUGAGUGAUGAAGGUCUUCGGAUCGUAAAACUCUGUUAUUAGGGAAGAACAUAUGUGUAAGUAACUGUGCACAUCUUGACGGUACCUAAUCAGAAAGCCCCGGCUAACUACGUG
rnacentral:rRNA from 1 species